rnacentral:ncRNA from 2 species
UAGUAGACCGUAUAGCGUAC